rnacentral:rRNA from 1 species
GACGAACGCUGGCGGCGUGCUUAACACAUGCAAGUCGAACGGAAAGGCCCUGCUUUUGUGGGGUGCUCGAGUGGCGAACGGGUGAGUAACACGUGAGUAACCUGCCCUUGACUUUGGGAUAACUUCAGGAAACUGGGGCUAAUACCGGAUAGGAGCUCCUGCUGCAUGGUGGGGGUUGGAAAGUUUCGGCGGUUGGGGAUGGACUCGCGGCUUAUCAGCUUGUUGGUGGGGUAGUGGCUUACCAAGGCUUUGACGGGUAGCCGGCCUGAGAGGGUGACCGGCCACAUGGGGACUGGGAUACGGCCCAGACCCCUACGGGGGGCAGCCGGGGGGAAUAUGGCAAAAGGGGCGGAAGCCUGAUGCAGAAACGCCGGGGGCGGGAUGACGGCUUUCGGGUUGUAAACCGCUUUCGCCUGUGACGAAGCGUGAGUGACGGUAAUGGGUAAAGAAGCCCCGGUAAAUUCCGU